ACGUAGUGAAUCAAGAGCUAUUUAAAGGGGGUACAGCCCCUUUAAAAAAGGACACACCUCCCCUAGCGGAUAAUUACCCAACCUUACGUCCUAACUUGUAGGCCCUUAAGCAGCCACCAGCAAAGAGUGCGUCAAAGCUCCACACAUCAAAAAAUCUGAAAACCACAUGACUCCCUUACCACUAACAGGCCAACCUACAACAAUAGGAGAAUCAAUGCUAGAAUAAGUAACUAGGGCCCCUCACCCUCUCAGGCGCAACGUUACAUCAUUAUAUUAUUAACAGACCAACUAAUACCACAACUUUAACAAGAUGAAUAUUAAACCCACUCUGUUAACCCAACCCAGGAGCGCCCAUAAGAAAGAUUUAAAUCUACAAAAGGAACUAGGCAAACCCAAGGCCCGACUGUUUACCAAAAACAUAGCCUUCAGCCAACCAAGUAUUGAAGGUGAUGCCUGCCCAGUGACCCCACGUUUAACGGCCGCGGUAUCCUAACCGUGCGAAGGUAGCGCAAUCAAUUGUCCCAUAAAUCGAGACUUGUAUGAAUGGCUAAACGAGGUCUUAACUGUCUCCUGUAGAUAAUCAGUGAAAUUGAUCUUCCUGUGCAAAAGCAGGAAUAAACACAUAAGACGAGAAGACCCUGUGGAACUUAAAAAUCAGCAGCCACCACACAACAGACUCCCAAGCCUACCAGGCCCACAUACCCCCCUCCAAACACUGGCCUGCAUUUUUCGGUUGGGGCGACCUUGGAGAAAAACGAAUCCUCCAAAAACAAGACCACACCUCUUAACCAAGAGCAACACCUCGACGUACUAACAGUACCCAGACCCAGCACAAGUCUGACCAAUGGACCAAGCUACCCCAGGGAUAACAGCGCAAUCUCCUUCAAGAGCCCAUAUCGACAAGGAGGUUUACGACCUCGAUGUUGGAUCAGGACAUCCUAAUGGUGCAGCCGCUAUUAAGGGUUCGUUUGUUCAACGAUUAACAGUCCUACGUGAUCUGAGUUCAGACCGGAGCAAUCCAGGUCGGUUUCUAUCUAUGACAGACUUUUCCUAGUACGAAAGGACCGGAGAAGUAGGGCCAAUGCUGCAGGUACGCCCUCCCCCAAGCAAUGAAUCCAACUAAACCGCUAAAAGGACACACAUAAACCCCGUACAUCCUAGAAAAGGAUCGCUAGCGUGGCAGAGCUGGCAAAUGCAA
rnacentral:rRNA from 1 species